rnacentral:lncRNA from 1 species
CAAUGAAUUUCCAAGUGAUGAGGCAGUGAAGAAGAUUGUGAAUAUUUCUCCAUCCUUUUCUCAUAUGGAAUUUCUGUUUCCUUCCAUUUAACUGAAUACAUGAACUCCACAUUAACUUCCUUAUUUUCAGUCAGCUCCACAACAUUUUUCUGAUCAGAUAGUGCAGUUAUCUCAAUGACACGAUCCUUGUUGUAAAAGAUGGUGAAGUGAAGAUGCUUAAAGAGGUAAUAUUUGUAUUCGCUAGGGUCAUUCUUGCCUUCCUUUUCAACUUUCCCUAUGAAACCCCAAAUGGGCAAGUCAUCGUAGUACAUUUGGAAGUAGUAGUCCUUGGAAACUGCUUCUCGGAACUGAGCAACUUGCUCCUUUGUCAGCUUGUUUUUGCAAGCAAUUUCAGAGUCUUUGUCAUUUAAAAAGUCAAGUUUGUAUGGGGCAGUGACUAAACGAUCCCCGUUCAACAGUUCACCAAGGGCUUCCUUCUUGUCCUUUGUAGGACCUGUAAUAAAUAACAUCAGCAAACUUCCACAGUAAAACAUGGCAUUAAAGUAGGAAUAAUAUAAAUUGACGCAAACCUGAUGAACAGAAAGGAAGAUCGAAAUACCGGUAUGUUUCACUGACAGAAAGAACAAGAAAGAAACAAUAUCAGACAAUUAUGACUAAAAAAUACUUUAAAAAGUUCAUAGUUCAACGGUUAAAAUCUCAGUAUAAAAAACCAAAAAAUUGGGAUGAUAUGAGUACUUAUAAGUUUCCUAUCUAAUUCAUACCACCCAACUCACCACCAGCCAUGCCUUCUAAAUCAAAGCAACUACACAUGUAAUCUAGAGUGGACUAAGAAAAUAUAGUUAAAUUUUCCAGCAUAAUUUUGGGCAAGGAAAAGAGUUCUUUCGAUUGCUUAUAGGAUCUAAAAAUGAGAUCUAAUUUUCAGCAUUAACAAAGAAAUAAGCCCCUAAAUAAAAUUUUCCACCUCACAAGAAAAAAACAGAAAUACAAAUCACCUCCUACAUCUCUAGACAUUAUUCUGUUCUUUUACAAACAACCUUUCCUAGCUUGCAGAUUUCUCUAUUCAACAACUUGCAUUCCCGAAUCCCACUAAACUGUCUCCCCAACACAAAAUUAACCAGCUCCUUGUACAAACAUUAAGCUGUGUUAAAUUUCCAACUUAAUUAGUACCUAACCGACAUCAACAACAUUUUCAUGUUCAAGUCCAAGUUCCAAUCUUUGAUCUUCUUCUUUAGAAAAACAAACCCAGAUCCACUUUACCAUAAGCUCAGAUCCACAACAAUUAAAGAAACCAAUCCAAAAUUUCAUUUCUAAUCCAAAUCCCACAGUCCCCACCAUCCCAAAUCAUCAAAAAGUCACAAACUUGAAGACAACCCACAAAACCGACAUCCUUGAGCUAAUCAAAACUGCAAAAGACAGAGAAUUGGAUUACCUGGGAUUGUGAAAAGGUCCAACUUUGUUAACAUAAAGAGGGACAUCAUCACCUACUUUGUAACGAUUAGUAGAUGCAUCUGAUCUAACACGGGUCACAUUGCAUAGGAUCAAAAUAGAGACUACCAAACAAGGCACUAGUUUCAUCUCCAUUUUCGCUCUCUGUAACUCAUAAACAGAGCAUAGAGAGAUAGAGAGAGAGAGUUAUAAAGAUGGAUACUUUUCAGGCUGUGGCUCGAAGAAGACUUCAAGAUGCUAAAACGGUUAACCUUCGUGUCAAAAAGAGGCCUUUCUUUAAUUAACAAUAACAAGGCGAGUAAUUGACUUCUCAUUAAGGUCAUUUUUUUAAUUUAAAUUUUGGUUUUAAUGAUUUUUCUAUUCUUGAAAAUUCUCAACCUUGAAUUUUUUUUUUUCAAAAUAAUUAAGUAUUGGGCAUCCCAAAAAUAUCAUAUUUUUACUUUAAUGUUCAUCUCUUUAACUUAUUUGGAAAUUAAUCUUGGUAUUUUUGUAUUCAUUUAUUUCAGCACCACUUACAAAUUUAUAAUUCCAUUAUUGGUUCGGAUAUAAAAUAAUUGUAUUAAAAGACACCCUCAACAUGUAGUUUUUGUUUUUCAACUUUUUAGUUUUUUAGUUUUGAAAUGAUUGUGUAAGUCAUGUUGUAAAUCAACUUUUCGGAUGAUACAAGUUUAACCGGUAAAUAUUAAAACUAGUAAUCAAUCAGAAUCAAGUCUUGAAUCACGAGUUUUCUAGAUUAACUUAUUAAGCUAGAUCAAUAUCAAAACUAAUUUAAACUAAAACCCGAUUUAAGUUAGGUUUCAAAUCAUGAAUUUAUCAAGUUAAUUUAUUAGAUUGAGUUAGUGUUAAAACCGAUUUAUUUUAAAAAUUAACUCAAGUGAAGUUCUGAGCUAUAAAUUUAUUGAGUCAACAUCAAGCUUAAAUUAAAUCUAGCUCGAGUCAUGUUUCAAGUUAUAGAUUUGCUGGAUGAACUUGCUAUGGUGGAUUUAAUAACUGGUGGUACUUAAAUUAACUAAUUAUUAUUAUUAAGAAGAAGAAGCUGGACUUCAUUUGGAAUAGAUCCCAAUACAUGCAUAAACUAUUAGAAGAGUAGGAAUCAAGGAACCCUCCAAAUUAUGAAGGUGGGGGAAUGCUUAAAUGCCAAGGAUUAUAGCUUGACACUCAUGAAGCCCUGGAUAUCAAAAUUGCCAUGCCAUCAUCUACUCUGUGGUUAAUUCUGAGGUUUCUGCUGUCUUUUUUUGUGGUAAAUUGCUUUCACUUUGAUCCAACUCUCUUUCCCAUUACGUGGUUGUAAUAGUUAUUUUACCAUGCAGUUGAAGAAGCAUGGAGGUCAGGUCAAAUUCCUGAAAAGGAAAAGAAAACCACUUUGUGUGUUAAGAACGCUAAUGACCUAAUUAGCAGUUAUGUUAUGUGAUGAAGAGGGUGAUGUUAUGUGAGUUUCAACAUGUUUUUUGUUAAAAAAAUUUAAAAAAUAUAUUCUUCAAGUAAUUUUUUUCAAUGUUUUGAAUGAUUUUGAUUUACUGAUAUCAAAAAUAAAUUUUAAAAAUUAAAAAAUAUAUAUUAUUUUGAUAUUUUUCUAAAUAAAAAAUACUUUAAAAAAAAUCACUACUACUCUCAAAUACCCGUAAAGGCUUGCCCUAAUCUUUCCAUAUAAAUUAUAAUAUUUUCUUCCUUUUGCAAUGUAAUCAAUGUUUCAUAUUAUAAUUUAAAGUCAUUACAAAUUAUACCAUUAGAUUUAAAUAAAAUAAAAUAAAAUUUUAAAAUUCAAAUUCAACCAUGUAAUGGACAUUUCACUCAAAACAAAUAUUAAUUUGAUGAUUUUUAUUGAUAUUUUUUAUUGUUUUAACAUGCUAAUGUAAAAAGAAAUAUGAUAAAACAUCAUUUUAAUAUAAUUUCAUUUGAAAAAUACAUUGCACCACAUUAUUAAAUACACACCAAGUCAUCAUGUCCACAACUUAAACUACAUAGUUAUUAAAUUGAUCUUAGUACAACAAGUUGACUUGAUGAUUUAUCAAGUCAAAACUUUUUGAAUGGUUUUUUCUUAAAUUAUUUUGGAAGUUUACCUGGUUAAAUCUAGAUGAUAAGGUGAGUCAAACUAGAAUCUGACCAAGCUUAGAUAAAAUCUAGUUGGGUUAACUUCAAGGAUUUGUUUAUCCAAGAAGACACCAUUUUAGGAUAUUUUUUUUAAUUUUGUUCAAUUGACAUUAUUUGAGAUUUAAAAAAAUAAAUAAAUAAAAGGUUUUUUUAUUAGAUUAGAGUUAAUUUGUCCAUUUGCUACUUAACUCAUAAACCUGCAACCUGGAUCUUGAACCGGGAUCCCCAAGUGAUAGUUAGUCUUUGGCCGGCAUUGUUAUUGAAGAGAGGAUGAAUUCUAGAAUACUAGGUUAGACUGUUAGGUUUAAAUGCAACAACAGAAUCGAUCAAUUCAAAACGAAUCCAACAAAUUCAAAUCCAGCGAUUUAGCAAGCAUUGAUAUUUUAUUUGCAUCUGGUCUUGACUUGAUUUGUUACUGCUUACAUUGAAAUGGACAGGCUACCAACGCCAUCCCCUCCUGGACCAGAAUGUUGUCUGAGACAUAAAUAAAAGUUUGCUGUCAUGUCCACAUCUUAUUGCAAAUAUUUUGUUAAUAGACCAUGAUUUGCUGUUAAUGCAAGCACCAUAGAAAACUCACCAAGGUUAACCAGUUCAGUUCCAAAAAAUUAAGAGAUAGUAAAUAGAUAAUUUACAGCUUAGUUUAAUCCUCUCGUUUUUGUUCAAUCUAAAGAUUUUAAGGCAGUGCAAAAACAUAAUUACUUGCAUAUUUUUAAAAAUUACCGGUUAGGUUUCAUCGCCAUGCUCAAGUUUUCUAGUUUAACCCCCGAAAUAAAUGAAUGAUGGGAAAUAUAUCUUGCUGCUGUAAUAAAUUGUGGAAAUAAGAAUGUUCAAAGUGCUGCUACCAGGAACACAAAUUCUAAGGCUUCUUAAAGUUCUAGAAUACAUUCAAAACGAUGGCUUGUGCUCACAUUUAAGCACCACAGAUUCUUAUAACAGCAUUCUAAGGUCCUAUAUGUUCCUCUCCUAUCAAAAAAAGGUUAUUACAGAAGUCCUCCAUUUGAUGUGCGGUCAUCCUUCAAAGUAGUGGGAUAAAGGCUCCUGCAAUCCCAGAAGACAUUUUCCCAGCCAACUGUUGCUUCUCCUGUAACAUAAUGCGAAACGAUAGAAGACUACCUUCAUCAAUACAAAUGAGCAGAGUUUCCUUCAAUUAAGCCUGCUAAGAGAAAGUAAGGGAUCCUACUCACUGAACACAACGAAAACCAUAUGACUUCCUACUCGCACUUGAUUGAGUGGUAAAUAUGGCGGACAAAGAACAAGGAAGCACGGAAACCAAUGCUUCCAAGCAUGAGGAAGAAACCAUAACAAACGCAGGCCAUGUAGCCAAAGAAAAAUGAGGUUUGCAUGAAGCCGGACAUAUCUGAUCUUGCAAAGUAGUAAUACAAGCAAUAGCCAUAAAUGAACAAGCCAGUUGAUCCACCACAGAGGAAAGACCUACAAAACACCAAAUAUAUAAAAGUGAGUGUCUAGAAAAAUAUAUAUCAGGCAAUCGUAUCCUUUUAAAACAUGGCAUUUUGCAGAAAACACAGCUACAAGAAAAGGAUAAAAGAAGCAAACUAGGAGAGGACUAAAUCAAUGCCAAAUUACAUUAUGACUUGGAUAUUCCAGCAAUUUAGAUAAAGAUCUUAAGAGUCAGAAAACAUUGAGAAAAAAAGGCAAAAUUUAACUCAAAGUUAGAAAAGAACAACAUUAAAGAACUCUUUUUUUUCCUGUGAGUGAACCUUGGAUAUUUUAUUGUGCUUAUAAUAAUGGAAAAGCAAAUCAGAAGUAGUAACAGUUUAUACCCGAACUUCAUAUAAUCUAACAGUAAAACAUACCUCCACCACCACUCAUGGUCUUCAGCAGCAAGUUGGAAAUAAGUCAAUGCCACUGUUAUAAAAGCAGUGACAAUCAAGAGAAUGAUGAAGACAAUGAACAAGAUGCUGUAUAUGGUGUAGAUCCUGUGACCCCAAACACUGGCAAAUAUGUAGUAAAGUUCGAUAUAGAUUGCACUGAAAGGUAAGAACCCAGCCAUGGCCAUCUGAGGAAGUGUUUUCCGAUACCAAGGCAACAAAGGAAUCUCUCUCGGAUAUUUAGUGGUGCGGCAAGGAGCCUGAAACUCAGCCUUGCUAUUCUUCCCAGCAAUCCCACCAAGUACCAGCAAUGGUGUUGUUACCAAAGCCCAAAUAAGAAAUAUCACCACUAUGGUUCCAAAAGGCAAUGCUGCAGUGGCACUAUAUGUGAUUGCAACUGUAUUAAGAAAGCUGAACGUGAGGAGCAGAGGUCCGCAAAACAGACCUCCAGUUAACAACAAGUUCCUGACCUGUCACACCAAAAUUUCAGAACUGUUUAGCCUAGCAUGUCUCAAAAGUUGAAUGGUAGUUUAUAGAGUAAAGCUAGAAAUUCAGCAAUGAUACAGAUUAGGAUCACAAGGAAUUCCAUCAAUGCCAAAGAGAAAAACUUAAAUCAUCAUAAUAAUGAAUAAUUAAUAUCAAUAUCAAAAGACCAACAAAUGCAAACCACGCUAGUCUUCAUAGAAACCACAACCAGCAUGAAAUAAUCAAUUGUACUUGUAUCCAUGUCUAGAAUUACUCAGUUUCAAUGCACCUAAAGUGAUACAUUUAAAUGUGACUCUUUAAGUGUUGAUCUUUAGUUUAUUGACUUCUCAAAAUCACUUUUUUAAAAAUUUAGUGCAAGGCUUCAGAAAGCGUUAAGCCAUCAACUUUCAAGUACACUCUUCUCUUUCUCUAGGACAGGUUUUUUUUGCAGCAUCAAAUGGGUUCAGAUAUGAUACGUAAGGAAAACAAUUUACCCAGCAUAAGGUGGUUUUCAGCCCCCUUACCCAUGCUUAUACCAAUUUUCACAAAACACUUGUCCCAAAACCAAUCAGAUCCUAAAAAAAACUGCAAUUCCACUAUGUAUGUGUACUGAAUCUGAUAACAUUAACCUUAUAGAAAUACACCAAUAACAAGUGCUUUGGGCAUGCCCAAGAAUGAUGUGAGCAAGAGGCAAUGAAAAAGGAACCCAUGAUCACUCACCCAGUUUGUUCCUUCCAGUUGGCAAAAGAAAGAGGCUGCAGUGUAGCCUGCAAUCCCAGCUGUAAGGGCAUAUAUGACAACCAAUGCAGUGAAAAGAGCUCCACGAUUAUAAGGAUAAAAGACACCAACUAGAGCGAGUAAGAAAAUGAAAAAUGUGCUGCAAAGUAUGUAUAUAUACAAAGUUAGCAGGUUGCUCAGCAACAUACAAUAAUUAAAAAAAAGGUUUUGAGACAAAAACCCCCCAUGCACAGCUUUGAAGUUAAACUUACAGAGUAAACAGCUGGGUGCCAGAGCCAACUGCUGCCGCAAGUACAGACUUAUACUUUGGAUAUCUAAAUACAUCACCAUGGAUGUACUUCCACCCGGUCUCUUCUUGGUCUUCAGCUGAUUCCUCAUCGUGAGCAUACCUAUUGUAAAUGGGAGCAUCACCAAAUAAAUAAACCAGAAAGCUUAAACAAUGUUAGCAGACAUGUUCUAACAACAUAAAUCAUUAACAUGUUCUUACUUGACAAAAUCAUUCUUCAGGACUCGCAUGAGAAUUGUUGCAAGAAAACCAGUCAAGAGGAGAACAGUCACACAUGAGUUAAUGAUUGAGAACCAAUGAAUUUCCAAGUGAUGAGGCAGUGAAGAAGAUUGUGAAUAUUUCUCCAUCCUUUUCUCAUAUGGAAUUUCUGUUUCCUUCCAUUUAACUGAAUACAUGAACUCCACAUUAACUUCCUUAUCUUCAGUCAGGUCCACAACAUUUUUCGGAUCGGAUAGUGCAGUUAUCUCAAUGACACGAUCCUUGUUGUAAAAGAUGGUGAAGUGAAGAUGCUUAAGGAGGUAAUAUUUGUAUUCGCUAGGGUCAUUCUUGCCUUCCUUUUCAACUUUCCCUAUGAAACCCCAAAUGGGCAAGUCAUCGUAGUACAUUUGGAAGUAGAAGUCCUUGGAAAUUGCUUCUCGGAACUGAGCAACUUGCUCCUUUGUCAGCUUGUUUUUGCAAGCAAUUUCAGAGUCUUUGUCGUUUAAAAAGUCAAG